GACGAACGCUGGCGGCGUGCCUAAUACAUGCAAGUAGAACGCACAGUUUAUACCGUAGCUUGCUCCACCAUAAACUGUGAGUUGCGAACGGGUGAGUAACGCGUAGGUAACCUGCCUGGUAGCUGGGGAUAACUAUUGGAAACGAUAGCUAAUACCGCAUAAUAUUGAUUAUUGCAUGAUAAUUGAUUGAAAGAUGCUAUUGCCUCACUACCAGGUGGACCUGCGUUGUAUUAGCUAGUAGGUGAGGUAACGGCUCACCUAGGCGAGGAUACAUAGCCGACAUGAGAGGGUGAUCGGCCACACUGGGACUGAGACACGGCCCAGACUCCUACGGGAGGCAGCAGUAGGGAAUCGUCGGCAAUGGACGAAAGUCUGACCGAGAAACGCCGCGUGAGUGAAGAAGGUUUUCGGAUCGUAAAGCUCUGUUGUAAGAGAAGAACGGGUGUGAGAGUGGAAAGUUCACACUGUGACGGUAUCUUACCAGAAAGGGACGGCUAACUACGUG
rnacentral:rRNA from 1 species